rnacentral:rRNA from 1 species
GUUGCUGCGGUUAAAAAGCUCGUAGUUGGACUUCUAUACUCGGGCGGACCAGCCCUCUCCUCCGCUCCUAUACAAGCCUCCGUGUUCCCAGUAGCCUUCGUGCGUCGCCGCCGUCGCGCGCGCGCGCGGCGUCAGUGCCUACCUUCGCGGGUAUGGUGCUGCGUCGUCGUCGUCGUCGUCGUCGUCGGUGGUAUCAGUGCGCGCGUUGACGAACGGCAUGGGCAGGGCGAGUACGGAGUGGUGGGGGCGUAAACUGCGUCCGUCUCCGAGUGUAAUAUGAGACCGCCGAUAUGCACUUUUAGUGUGUCGGGAAAUAGUCUAUAGCCGUGCGGGCGGUGCCCUUUGUUGGGUGUCCUCUCGAUUGCGGCACAAGGCACAUUCCUCACCAACAAAGUUAUCGGCUCUAUCACUUUGAAAAAAUUAGAGUGCUUAAAGCAGGCCUCAUUGCAUAAUUGCCUGAAUGGUAGUGCAUGGAAUGAUGGAAGAUGAUCUCUAUCUCGUUAAGUUAAAAAAGGAACUUGCUUUCUUUUUUUCUUUGCACCAAGUGGAAUAAGGGUACAUUUGAAAUAAAAGAUUCGAGGUUAGAGAUAAUGAUUAAAGGGAACUGCCGGGGGCGUUUGUAUUACGGCGCUAGAGGUGAAAUUCUUGGACCGUCGUAAGACAAACUACUGCGAAAGCAUUCGCCAAGAAUGUUUUCAUUAAUCAAGAACGAAAGUUAGAGUUUAGAAGGAGAUCAGAUACCUCCCUAUUUCUAACCGUAAACUAUGCUAACCAGUUGUCCGUCGGAAGUCAUUUCCGAGACUGGACGAGCGACCCUCAGGGAAACCAGAGUUUCUGAGUUCCGGGGGAAGUAUGGU